rnacentral:rRNA from 1 species
UAGGGAAUCUUCCACAAUGGACGCAAGUCUGAUGGAGCAACGCCGCGUGAGUGAAGAAGGCUUUCGGGUCGUAAAACUCUGUUAUUGAAGAAGAACGUGUGUGACAGUAACUGGUCAUGCAGUGACGGUAUUCAAUCAGAAAGUCACGGCUAACUACGUGCCAGCAGCCGCGGUAAUACGUAGGUGGCAAGCGUUGUCCGGAUUUAUUGGGCGUAAAGCGAGUGCAGGCGGUCUUUUAAGUCUGAUGUGAAAGCCUUCGGCUUAACCGAAGAAGGGCAUCGGAAACUGGGAGACUUGAGUGCAGAAGAGGAGAGUGGAACCUCCAUGUGUAGCGGUGAAA